GGAACUGUGGCUUAGUGGUAGAGUGUUUGCCUAGCAUGCAUGAAGCCCUGGGUUCGAUUCCCCAGUACCA
rnacentral:tRNA from 1 species